rnacentral:rRNA from 1 species
UACGUAGGGGGCAAGCGUUGUCCGGAUUUAUUUGGGCGUAAAGAGCGUGUAGGCGGUUUGGUAGGUCCGCUGUGAAAACUCGAGCUCAACCUCGAGACGCCGGUGGAAACCAUCAGACUAGAGUCCGGAAGAGGAGAGUGGAAUUCCUGGUGUAGCGGUGAAAUGACGCAGAUAUCAGGAAGAACACCCGUGGCUAAGGCGGCUCUCUAGUACGGUACUGACGCUGAGACGCGAAAGCGUGGGGAGCGAACAGG